UCAUGGAUUUUACUAUCUUUACAUCCAACCAAGUAUUGAAGAAACAUUAAGAAACCAUGCAUCCUCAAGAGACCAAUGCUCACAAUCAAGCAUGGGUGAUCGCAAGCAAUGACUUAAAGUAUGGUCUUAGGUGUUGCCAACAGUAGGUCCAACGGCCUACUGGGCUGUCUUGGUCUCAGUACAAGUUCCACUGUGUCUCAAUCAUUUGCCUUGGUAGAAUGGACCAUUUGCUUGAUAGCAUAUUAUAGAAACAACUUUAUCCUAAAGGAACUGGGGCUUGGAGUGGAGCCUCAGCAAAGCUACUAUGGAGUAGGUAGGUGUUGCUGGGCCCAGCUUCUAUCAGCCAUAUGAUGGGGUAGUUGGUAGAAACCACUUUUCUUAGAGAGGGAGGGAAGCACCAACAUUAGUGCUGGUGCAGGAAGCACUAACAUUGCCCACCUUUUCAGCAUGGAAAGAGGCCUUAAUGGCAAGCACAACUUUGCCUAGAGCGCAGGCCCAGGCUUCGAUGAUGAUUGAUGCCGGAAUUAAUGCCUUCUCUCCUCUUGUACGUGGAAAAUCUCAAACACAAUCCGAGUUUGAUGCCUCCAUGCACCAAUUUUCUCGUACUCUUCAGCACCACUAUCAUCCUCCUCACGCUCAUGCAUUAUUUGCUGCUUUCUCCGGCAUCUUAAAUGCACGCCACGGAUUGAAGAUUGCGACGAAGACGAUGAUGAGGUUGAAGAAGAAGCAGAAGUGAAAUCAUACUUGAAAACCCAGCUUCGUGAAAACCAAAACCCAUCAUCCAACCAAGACAUGACUCCUGCACAAGGUUUGUGCGGGACUUCUGUUUCGCGUGGAGCUGAGUGAGACUGUGUAGGUUGGCUCUAGUGUCACGGCUUGUGUGCGCAGCGGUGAUUCCGCAUUGACCAUCUGCUGAGAGGAGAACUUGGAAACCUUUCCUGUUGGUCACACAUGGCAACUCAAGGCUAUCUCUGCGAAUUGAAAAUUCGAGAUACUUAUCAUCAUGGAAGGUAUGUGACGCGUCCCUUUGCCCACCUCGCUCUUGUUGCCGCCUUGACGUGCGGGUAAUAAGGCUCUUGCUUGAAUGGCAAUGCUCCGUCGUCACCACGGCUGCUUGGAGUGCACCGGCCGUCCUUGUGAUUUUUUCUUUGAAGAGAGGCAGCAGUUUGCCAUGCAUUUCUCAGGAAGGGGAGCUUUACGUGUUUUGUUGUGAAACAAAGGACGAUUCUAAAUUUGAGCCGAAGGUGUGGAUAUUUUGGCUAGAAAAUAGAUCAGGGGAGAAUCUGAGAGAAGGAAUUGAGGAGUUGUUUUUUUUUUUGAAAUUACAUUUCAUUGGAUCGACGUCGAAAUAGUUGAUGGGACAAGUAUGUUUCAGAAUUAUUGUUGCCAAUCUGGAUUUUAUGCACGUUUUUUUUAGUCUUGUGGUUCCUUGGAGAUGGCAUAAAUCUUAGCAACCAAGUUUGAGCUCCCAACCUAUCAAAUUUCUUACGUUUUUUGAAACAUGAUAGUUUAUAUUAUUAUUAUUAUUCUUAUUUCUUUUGUUGUACUAAUCCUCUCCAGCUUGCACCAAUCCCUCACCACCUCCAAGGUGCCAUCGAGUUGUGGGGGACAAAACAGAUUAAUACAUUGCGUUUCAUCUGGUAACUCUCUGCCUUCUUUGUUCACUUUCUUGCAUCAAGGAAGCCGGAUUGCGGAGAUAUUCUAGCAUUUUGGAACGCGGGAGUGUUGCUGUAUCUGCACUUCUGCUGAUGCCUACAUUCAACUUGUGACAGAAGCUGCUGAUGCUCCAUGCAUUUUUGUUCCUUACAAAAAAGCUAUCUCAUAUAUGCAUCUACCUUGACCAUGCUAGAUAUCGCUCACUCAUUUAGCUUCAUUACUAGGUUCUAAGACCAGUCACUUUACACCCACUAAACUACUAUUCAACAAAUAUUUUCUUCAUGGAACAAGGUAUCACAACCUUAACUACUUGACAAAUGACCCUUCUGUUUUGUAGGGUGUGACUAAAAAUUUGAUAGUGAUUUGAACAGCCAUUGAUUCCUGCACCAGCACUAAUACAACUGAAUUGGAAUCGGAAGAUGUCACUUGCAACACUUCGCAGAGCUAGGCAUCUCUCAAGUUCACCUAGGCUCCUUUCUCUGGAUAAUCAAGGAGCUGUUAAACUCGAUAAGAGCCUGGAUUUCUAUGGACGAAUCGAACACAUCCAUCGCGAUUCAAUUCUGUCAUGAACAGAAAGACAAUGGCCCUAUCCUUUUUUCUUGGGUCAAUACGGACGCUCUACAUACAAUGAUUCCUCUGAUGAGGAUUGACAUUCUUGCCCUUCACCAUUCUUGUGCGUGUGGCUAGAUUUCCUCUAUCCUUGAAAAUGAAACCAUCCAAAUCUUCCCGGUGCGCAACGCUGGUCAAGUACAUCGGUGCGUCAGUUGGAUCCACGCCAGUGUGAAUAUAACAGCACACUAGAGACCCUGAGGCAAUGCCAAGGCACUGAAACUGCUGUACAAGAAGUCCUUGGUGAAUACCACAUGAAUUUCAAACAGAAUGAACAGGAAAAAGAUCGGAAGAAGAAAAAAGGGCAAUAAAAGAUAAGUGGGCGGAUAGUUCUCAAAUGUGAUUUGGUCUGACCAAAUGAGAAGCAACAUGCUGAGACCAGAAUCAUCUCAGCAUGCUCAACAUUAUAAAUUAGAAAGCCACUUGUAAGUGGCCUAAAAAUUAAACAUUCAUUUAGGCCUAAUUGAUCACAUUACGGGGUACAGUUCACUUACUCGUGGAGGAUUCCUUGCAAGUUUAGGGUCAGGAUACUUUGAUUCUAUACCGCAGAAGAGGGUGUCAUCCGGGCACGGAGUUGGAAGGGCCGAAGGACAGUGCCUGUAAAUAAGCACCCAAGUCCAAGUUUAUCGCCUUGACCAAAGGAUAUAAAGAACUACGUGGCAAUGUACAAGUUCUCUCUCCAACAGUUCAAGACAGCUCAAACUGAUUACUGACUACCGUAAAUCUCCUCCCUUAAUCGUCACCCUAAGCACUAAAGUCGACUCAUCUGUAAUAGGAAUCAAAACUAUGGCCAACACACUGACUUCAGACACCGUCUUCGGCAUCCUGGUUACUAGGUACUCUUUCCGUAUCACUUAGUUGCAACUCCCUAUGCCAAUCAUCGUCAUUCUUGCAGCCAGUGGCACUACGCCAGCACAAAAAAAAAUCCAUUUUAUUGAAACUGGCAACUUCUUGAGUCCCUCCAUGCCCAACAGCAGCACCAAGAAUCUGGACACACCCUCGUCCCCGAUCAAAAGACGUUUCUGGCUUUGUCAAGGUGACCUCGACACCGUCUUCCAAGACACCUUCCUGUGCAACAAUGAAGCUUUUAACUUCUCCUGAAUACGAGGGCACUCGCCAGCUCGUCCGCUGUAAGGGAGAUUUGUAAAUAGAUGUGGGCCUUUAUCAGAAGCAAUGUUGGAUUGUUUGUGUUAACAACCUCCUGAUACUGCUUCUCUAACUCCUCCAGUGUUGCAUUUUCAUGAGGACUUUUCAUGGUUGUAUCUAGAGUUGAGACGUUACUAAGGAAGAGACGUUCUUAUAUGGUUCGAAAUAUGUCCCCAUAUUUACAAAGUAACGGACAUAUCAAAUAUAUCUUUCUGAGAUCCUUGGAACAUAUCAUGAGUUCCAGGGCGCCGUUCCACAACAGGGCUUUUAUUUUUCAUUUUUGCUGCUGCACCCUGUGCCAUCGUGGGUGGCAGAUCCGAGACAGUCGUAGGUGAAUUACUUCUCACCUCAGGGUCACUCAGUGAUUGAGAAGCAUCUUGAACAGAAUUCUGAACAGGUGUGUCUGCGACCACUGUUUCUUUAAACUUCAACAACAUUGUUAAUAUGUAUAAAGAAGACAGGAUUGUUCGGGUUCGGGUCCAUAAGCUCAAAUACCAAAGCGUCUCCCUCUUCGAAAUGAUGAGACUGCAAAAAUGCUCUAAAUCCUUUCAAGCAUGCACUCUUCUUUCGGUUCCCAGCCCAACGAGCUGAUGCUUUCUGGCCUGCAGAAUCCCAUAGUCACCCGAACAAGAUUUUUCGGAAGCUUUUUCCUGGAAAAUGCACUCGGAAUUGACUGCAAAAAUAGGAUUUCAAGAUUUAGCAUUUCACUGAAUUAGUUCUUAUCAGCAUUAGGAUGUCAGGAAUGUAUUGAUUGGUAGUUAAAGCUCUUAGUAUCUCCACUGUAACUUACAAUAUUGAUUUAGUACUUCGCUUCGCAAAGUUACUAAAAGCUACAA